UAAAGAAUCAUCAGGCGGUAUGACAAGUUUCGAAAAUAGGACUGCUUAUAUGUGUUUUGGCCGGAAUGUGGGGGUGUGUGGGUGAAACAAAGCAUGCAUUCAUCUAUUGUUUGCGUUGUUUACGCGGAAAUGCCUAAUCGAGUUGGCAUGGGAGUGUAUUGUUUGCGUUGUUUAUCCUUUGUCCCUUUCCAGUUGUUUUGGAGUUAUCCACGUCCGGCAAAGCAGUGGCAGUAUAGCCAUUGAAAUUGGUCAUGAUCAUGCUUUGCUAAAAACCCUGAUUGACUGAGUCUAAAGCCUGGAUCACACUAGCAAUUGUGUCGGCGAUUUUUUCCUCAUUGCAUGGCAAAUGUGAUCAAACAAAUGACAUGCAAAAAACUUUACUUCUGAAGAGCGACUGUUUUUUGUUGUGUGCGAAUUCACUCAUUUGCAUCAGUCAGCUGAAACAAAAAAAAUCGCGGACAAAAUUGUCAGUGUGAACCAGGCUCAUAGUAGGUUAAAGACAAUACACUUCUAAUAGUUUGAACCAUUAUUAUAAUUUACAUAGCAUGACUUGUUGCUAUGGCUCGCUUGGCCACUACGACAGAGAGAUUUGAUUUGUUCGUCAGUGGUAUAAUCAAAUUGCGGAAGGUUUUAAUUUUUCGUGCGGAUCCAAGAUGGCAUGCAAUGGACAACUUACAUGUUUAAUUAAUAGACUAAAUUUUAAUCUAAGUAAAGAGAAGGGAAUAAAACACACAACAUUUCGCAACCAAAUUUUGCAUUUUUACUGAUUUUAAUAAGUUCUUUACGGGAAUUUACUUUUUUUGGCCUAAAUAAAAAAUUAGUCUACUUGCAAGUUGUCUAUUCAUAAUGUCUAUUAUAGAAUUUCUCAUAUAACAACCUUAAUAAUUCCUGGUACAUCCUGACGUGUAUAUACUAAUUGAUUAAAGAGGAAAGCUGCUAAAUUAUUUUUAAGAUAUACAGUCUCAAAGUUUUUGAUUUAUUGGUAGAAUUUCGAGAUUCAAAAAUUAAAGGUUGAAGUCCCAAGC